rnacentral:rRNA from 1 species
GGGGGAAUCUUGGACAAUGGGGGCAACCCUGAUCCAGCCAUGCCGCGUGUGUGAAGAAGGCCUUAGGGUUGUAAAGCACUUUCAGUAGGGAGGAAGGCUUCAAGUUAAUACCUUGGAGUACUUGACGUUACCUACAGAAGAAGCACCGGCUAAUUUCGUGCCAGCAGCCGCGGUAAUACGAAAGGUGCGAGCGUUAAUCGGAAUUACUGGGCGUAAAGCGCGCGUAGGCGGUUUGUUAAGUCAGAUGUGAAAGCCCCGGGCUCAACCUGGGAACUGCAUUUGAAACUGGCAAGCUAGAGUGCAGUAGAGGGAGGUGGAAUUUCCGGUGUAGCGGUGAAAUGCGUAGAGAU